UGUGCAGGUGCAGCCUGAGUUUUCCCCAGGCUGCUCUAUUUUUGCCUAUAGGUGUGAUUUUGUAGGCAGGCUGCUUCUCUGAGGAUUAGCCUUAGCUGUGUACCUAACAUUAACAUUAGAGAAAUGUCUUAGGUGCCUAUGGGUUUGUUAAUUAUUGCACCCCAGAAUUAAGUAGACUUAUCUAUCUAGUCACAGUAAUACACACUAAUGUUACAUUAGGGUCUUCUCCUAUAAACUCAUAUCAAAGAGCAAGAGAAAAGAAUGUGUGUAGGCUCCCAAGAAAAGUGAGAAAGAGGCUAAAUUAUUCUGAAAUUCAUCAAGAUACUGUGUGAAAAGACUCAAUGAUGCAUCAAACAACAAAUGCCCUGAGACCAAAGUUGUUUAUAACAACUUGUCUGGACAAGGAAGAGAGCUGGGAGCAGCUCUAGUCUUCCUCAUUGAGGGCUGUGCUGAAAGCUGCUAAGGGGUGGCUGAGGAGCAGUUUAUGCCCAGGCCCAGCUGAGGCUCAUCCAGUCUAGUCACCUCAGCAAUUCUGACAGUGUUUGAUCCUCCAUGCACGUGUUUCUACGCAUCAAGAAAGCACAGCUACAAGGUUAACCCAAAGAACAAUUUAAAAGCUAUUUCAAUGGCAAUUUCUGUGACUGAGUCAUGAAAACAGACAUAAAGUUCUUGAGGUUUUGGAUGAAGAAAAAGUCUCCUGCAGAAGAAAAGAACACACUCAUUUCAGAAAUUAAAACAACAAACAACAAAAACUCUAACCAUCCAAUUAAUUUAAUUUUUGUUUCUGAAAGCAUCAGUAGUAAAUUUAAAAUCCAUGAAUCUAAAUCUAUACUAGGGAGAAAGCAGCUAGAUUUAUUUCUAAAUAAAUAAUAUAUGCCUUAGGUCAAUUAGUUUUUAUUGCUCUAGAGUGUAAUAAUCCUAUUUUAUCAAUAUGUAUUAUGAUACCACUCAGUUUUUAAAUAGCAAAUCUAGUUAUUAUAAUAAAGGCAAUAGCACUAGCAUUAUAGGCACAA
rnacentral:lncRNA from 1 species